rnacentral:lncRNA from 1 species
AAUUCCUUCUGCACGGAGGCAUAAAGAACCUGAACCUUGCUGAGUCCAGACACAGGGUGAGUAACUCGAAUUUAAAACUGUGGGUUGAAGUCCCAAUCAGGGUUUUGGCUGGGUUCAAGUCCCAGCAUGUGGGUUCAAAUCCCAAUCUGUGUUCCGGCUAGGUUCAAGCCAUUAGUGCCGUCAGUUUCAAAGUCUCUCUGCAUCAUCUCAUGAGUAGAAUCCUUCUUAUGGUCUGAACUGCUUAUGGUUUUAAUUUGCAGUUGUCCUUUGACUUCUUUAUUGCUUGACUGGCCUCACUAGGCUUUAAGCUCUAUGACUCUCUAGCUGGUGGUCUUUGUACCUAGCCGUGUUUACCUAGUGCCUAGCAGUGUCUCUGGUUGGGUACUCAGUGGUGACUGGGAAUGAAUGAAUGCAUGAACGAAUGGAAGGAUGCCCUCCAUUCUACCAGAUGUGUGGGUUGGGAUGUCUGGACCACCCCUGUGGUCUGCUUGACCUUUCCUCCUCUGCUGGUCACUCUAUCUGGAAUCUGGUCUCCUUGUACUUGACCCUGGCAUCAUCUACAAAAUGGAAUUUAAAGUGAUUCAGCAGUGUAGAAGCUGCAUCACUUUAAAGACAAAUUUGAAGAAACAAACAAGGAAGCAGAAGCUUCCCCUCGAAUAAUUCUAAAUUCUCUAACUUUGCAGGUACAAAUAAAGAUUUCAGAUUGUUUAUCUUGAAUCACGCUUUUUCCUCCCAAGAACAUGGCUAUUUUAAACCAUCUUAAAAUUUUUGAAUAAUUACCACAUAUGAGGGAUUUCUUGAGCAACUAUUUUCUUUGUGCUAAAAAUUCUACCUUGGCUUUUCUAUUUAUAGAACUCCCAGCAUUGAUGUUUGUCUGAAAUCCAUAGGAGCAAGAUUUCUUGGGGCGUCUGCUCAUUGCAAAGCAAUAUUCACUUUUCUGAAAAUGAAUCUUACCUCUAAUUUCUACUCUAUUAAAAAUUGUGCAAAAUCCUAGGGGGAAAAAAAAACUUUAUUUGGUUCCUGAAAACAAUGGGACACUAGUAUAAAGGUGCACUGUAACUGUUAGAAAGAUAUUUUGAGAGAACAUGGCAUUUGUGUUCUUUAUAGUCAAGAUGUUUUAAUUUUUCUUAGUCUUAGUAAAGCAUGUGUGUAUAUCUUUAUUAAUUUAACAUUUUAUAAAUAAGUAUAUAUAAUGUUUAUUUCCUAAAUGCUAGAGGUAAAGCUCUAAACACUAAUUGACAAAUAAAAAUUGUAUAUAUUUAAGGUGUACAACAUGGGGUUUUGAUAUACAUACUCAUUGUGAAAUGAUUACCACAGUCAAGCUAAUUAACAAUCCAUCCCCUCAUGUUGUUACCUUUGCGUAUGUGUGAUGAGAACACUUAAGACCUACUAUCUUAGCAAACUUAGUAUUCAAUAGAGGAUUAUUACCUAUAAUCACCAUGUUGUACAUUAGAGCCUCAGAACUUAGUCAUCUUAUAUCUGAAAGUUGGACCAACAUCUUCCCAUUUCCCCACUCCCACCUCCUGGAAACCAUUAUUCUCCUUUCCACUACUCUGAGUUCUUAUUUAUUUAUUUAUUUUGCUUUUCUUUCUUUCUUUUCCUUCCUUCCUUCCUUCCUUUCACUUUUAGGGCGCUGCACCUGCGGCACAUGGAGGUUCUCAGGCUAGGGUCUAAUUGGAGCUACAGCCGUUGGCCUACACCACAGCCACAGCAAUGCCAGAUCUGUGCCUUGUCUGUGACCUAAACGCCACAGCUCACAGCAACGCUGGAUCCUUAACCCACUGAGCAAGGCCAGGGAUUGAACCAGCAACCUUAUGGUUCCUAGUUGGACUCGUUUCUGCUGCGCCACAAUGGGAACUCCUGAAUUCUUUUUUAGAUGCUACAUACAAGUGAGAUCAUAUAGAAUUUGUCUUUCUGAACCUGGCUUAUUUCACUUAGCAUAUCCUCCAGGUUGAUCCAUGUGUUGAAAAUGGAGAAUUUCCUUCUUUUCCGUGGUUAAAUAAUAUUCCAUUGUAUACAAAUACCACAUUUAAAAAAAUCCAUUCAUUCCUCGACUGACACCUAGUUUGUUUCCAUAUUUCUUGCAAUUAUUUUAACUAAUGAAAACGCAGUGGAAAAGAUGAGCUGCUUACUGGUGCUCGAAGGAUAAAUUUUUAAUAAGUAGAUUUGUAAAAAGGAUUCUAUAAAGAAGGAAUGGACAAAGAAAUAGCUACCUUGGGAAAAUAUUGAUAAUAGACAAAGAGAGGCAGCAAAUUUCAAAAGUCUCUGUGAAGUGACCUCAUCUGGAAGAUGACCCAAAUAAUGAGCAAUUAUCUGUGCUGGCAUCUGCCUCAAGGAUCAGGGGUACGGUCAGUGCAAAAUAUGCCAGGGGAGCGAGCCAUGGUCCUCCUCACCCUCACUUUGGCAAAAAUGUCACCAUCAAAUCAGAAACCUAAGCAGCAUCCUUUAUUCUUCCUUUCUAUUACCCUCCAUCUUGAAUCUCUCACCGAGUCUUGUUGCUUCCACUUUUGAUAUACAGCUCCUGUCCAUCCAUUUCUUUCUGGCCUCAUUGCCACCCCCUUGCCCAGACCACCUCCUUCCUCCUGUAGAGCUUGAUGACGGCAACAGGUCUCCACAGGUCUUCCUGCAUCCACUCUUUAGUUUCUCAAACACAAAAUUCUUAGCAUCAACCUCAUUUUUCCCACCUCUGCUUAGCAGAAGAAUGCUGGGCUCUUCUGGGGCAUUCAUUCAUUCUUCUGCUAAAAAGUAAGAAGUUGUGUAUGUAGUUGCAUCCUCAGUAACUUCCAAGAAUGCUAAAUGAUGUUGUAGAGGGAAGACACUGCUUCUUCCUUCCAAUUCCAGCCUUACACUUGCCUGGUCCAGAUUGCUCUAUGAUGAUUAAAGAUCCAAAAAGAGAAUGUCCCUGAGCAGAUAAGGAGAGUUUCAGUGACAAAGUCUCUACCAAGUGUUUACCUUAAUAGCAUUUACCAGAAGAAUCCGAUCAGUAUCUCUCAGCAGGAGAUUUUACUUAUCCUCUUAGAAGAUCAUUCUGAUUAGGGAAAAUUGUUUCAGAGGCAAGGAUAAAUUCAGGUGAAGCUGGCUUGACAGACCCUAAGGUUGCUGACUGCAGCUUUUAUUUGAGGCAUGGAAUAACUUUGUCUUCUAUUUUACUUAAAGUAUUUUAAAUUUGGUAGAAAGCUGGAGGUUUAGCAUUUUAUAAAGAUCAUUCAAAAUUCAACACAGACUGCAUAAAAUAAAGACUGGUAAAUAGCAUUGUGUUUACCCUUCAGUGUUCAGUUGGAAGAUUCAAUUUAAUCUAAAAAAUGCAAUUAAAAUGUAAGCACUCUGUGCCCAGUUUAAGUCAAUAGGCAAUAAAUGUUACUCUCUAUAAGGUAGUCCCAAAAUAGCUGUGGAAGAUUUGGAAAGUUUAAUGCGUGGUCUCUGCCAUCACUGGGAAAGGAGACAUAAUCACAGGAAAUAUAAAAUAUAUAAGUCAGUAUGUAAGCACCAAGCUAAGUGAUUCAGCAAUUUAAAUUUAAAGAUGGAAGACCUCAUUUUAAUUGCAAAUUGCAUAAUUGCAUUUUCCUGUUUUACAAUAAAUGAGAUGAAUUUCUCUCCCAAUUGCUCUUUUGUUGGAGAAGCGACUUGGCCUGUGUAGUCCACAUUGAAAGCCAGAGCCCAGCACCCCUGGCAAAGACGCUGUUGUUGUCCUGGAGCUACAUGCACACAUUCUGGGCUGGGUAGACUGAAAAAGCUCUGCCUCAAAUUAAAAAAUGAAAUAUGCUGUUAUUAUGGAUGUCCAAACUUUGAGAUAAAAGAUUUCCACUUCUCUGGCACUAUGAAAACGAGUUAUUAUCUUCCCCCAGUAAACAAUCAGGAGAAUUAAUUUGGAGAUAAUUACACUCUGGUGUUUAAUAUUAUACUUGGAUUUUUGAAGUAUUUUGAUGUGAGCAGUAACAGUGGCUCAAAUAGAUGGUUCAAGGCCUAAGACUCUCAGGGUAGAUUUUAUAACAUGGGGAAUCCGUGGCUAAAGGGUCAUUUCCAUUACCGUCAUUUACACUACCGUCAUUUUCAUACCCUGUAUUGGCUUUGGCCAUUUUCUCUGAUAAGCAAGAAAAUUAACCAUGCAAGUUAGUCCUACACCCAAGUUAGGAGAUUGGACAAGAUUUUCUGAGUGAACUGUUCAGCUAUUUCUUUAAAUAUUGGGAAACUAAUUUAUGAAAGCUUGAGCCUAAGGUCAGUUCACUCCUGGGAAUCAGAAAUGCUCAGCAAUGUCUGAUAAGUUGGUAAAAGAGGCUGCACACUAUCUUCCUUCACAUUCUCUGAGUCACACUGGGGAAAGUAUCUGUGUAAGAAAAGAGGAAGAGAACCGGGAGGGGCAUCGUGGUAUCUGACUCAGGGGGUCCCAUAGUGAACCAACUGGGUAUCUGUUGGGUCCACUGGCCAUUUCCCUUUCUUUCAGGUUUAUUUCCAUUCUCUAGAGGGCUGAUGUCCUGCAGACAUAUUGUAUUAUAUAAUCCCACCGUGGCUUAUCGGACCUGGAACGGACAUUCCAGGAUGGCACGGAGGUCUCUCCAUAGGACUGAAUUAUAUAACCCCUGUCGAGUCACAGCAAUAUAGUCUGCCAUGUGAAAGGAAAGCAGAAAAACUGAAGAGGGAUGUAGAUAUACCAGAAACUUGAGGUCUCAGGUUAUGCUCCAGUGGUUCUCAGUGGCAAAGGGUGACUCAGAGUGGAGAAAGGCAUUUUCACACUUAACCUGGAACCACCCUUUGCAUAAAUACCAGUACUCUAGUGGGGGGUACAGCAAGCAAUAGCAAUGCAAAGACUCUUGGAAUUGACUCUGAGGGUCCGGUCAGUAUUUAUAGAAGGAAAAUUGUGGAGGCAGAUGAAUUUCUGAUCAACACCUGGAGACUUAAAGCUAUCUAUCAUUGUGUAAGAUUUGCAUCCAUGAGAUGAGGAGUGAUCCACUGAAUUUGGGAAACUGGCAUUAAAGUGACCCCUUUCGUACCCAGGACUGGUUCAGUGUAAGGAACCUUGCAAUCCCAUGAGCAAGGGUUAUAGUUCCAGAGCAACUCUUAUGCAAAUAGGUAACCAAAGAAUAAAUCACAUUGGUUGCUUUUUAUCCUGGAUGGACUUGUUCAUUGAAAAAGAAGUGUCAGUGACUUGGUAGCUUUUGUCAUAUCAGUCACCUUCUCAGGACUUCAUUUGCUCAUUUGUAAAAUGAGGACUCUGGACAAGAUGUGGUGUUUCCGGGUCUGAAACUAUAUUUCUGUAAAGCUAUAAAUAUCUUAGAUUUAUUCUCUUCCUUCUUGAAAAGUAUUCAGAAGAAAAUACUUUGUGGUAGCUAAUUCAUUUAUUUUGUUUUCCCCGUAUGCUUAGAAUUUAUUGUCUGUAUGUAUUUUACCAUAAAUCAACAUUUGUUAACAAUCUUUCUUAUAAACUGAAGUGCAAAUGGGCAAUUUUCUUAAGACAGGGUUUCAAAACAGUAGAUUUUUUUUUCUUCACUAUGGAUUUAAAAAAAAAGAGAGACAUAGUGUGCUGAAAUGAAUCUUUCCUCUAUGAGGUAUGGGACCCAAAAGCUAUUACAAACUUGCCUCUGGUAUAUGUCAGUGACUGAACAUUGGAAAGGCGUAAUUUAGCAGUUGUUGAAAAUCUGAUUUGUGUUUGCUGAAGUGUUCCAGGAGCCCCUUGAAUGGAGACCUUCCUGAAGUUCUUAGCAGUGGUGGAAGUGCCCCCACAGAGGCUGAGAAAUGAAAGGCGGGUAGGAGCCCUGGGAGCAAAAGGAGGAUAAAUAGGCCUAUAUCUUUGAUAGGCUGUGCAAGGUUAUGCCCAUCAUAAAUCCUACCUUGCUAGAGGAG